UCCUACGGGGCGCAGCAGUGAGGAAUAUUGGUCAAUGGACGAGAGUCUGAACCAGCCAAGUAGCGUGAAGGAUGACUGCCCUAUGGGUUGUAAACUUCUUUUAUAUGGGAAUAAAACAGGGUAUGCAUACCCUCUUGUAUGUACCAUAUGAAUAAGGAUCGGCUAACUCCGUGCCAGCAGCCGCGGUAAUACGUAGGGAGCAAGCGUUAUCCGGAUUUAUUGGGUGUAAAGGGUGCGUAGACGGGAAAACAAGUUAGUUGUGAAAUCCCUCGGCUUAACU
rnacentral:rRNA from 1 species